rnacentral:rRNA from 1 species
AUUGAACGCUGGCGGCAGGCCUAACACAUGCAAGUCGAGCGGAGCGGCGUACAGGUGAGUAAGGCCUAGGAAUCUGCCUGGUAGUGGGGGAUAACGUCCGGAAACGGGCGCUAAUACCGCAUACUAUCAGUUGAGCCUAGGUCGGAUUAGCUAGUCGGUGGGGUAAAGGCUCACCUAGGCGACGACCCCGAGCUAGUCUGAGUGGGUGAGCAGCCACACUGAAACUGAGACAGAGUCCAGACUCAUACGGUAGGCAGCAGGAGGGAAUAUUGCACAAUGGGAGCAAGCCUGAUGCAGCCAUGCCCCGUAUAUGUAGAAGGCCUUCGGAUUGUAAAGUACUUUCAGCGGGGAGGCAUUCCCCGCAGAAGAAGCACCGGCUAACUCCGUUCCAGCCGCCGCGGUAAUUC